GGCGCGGUGGCCUAAUGGUUAGUGCGUUGGACUCUGGAUCGAGCGGUCUCGGUUCGAACCCUGGCCGGGGUCA